rnacentral:tRNA from 1 species
GGCUUCAUAGCUCAGGGGUUAGAGCACUGCUCUUGUAAACCAGGGGUCGUGAGUUCAAUUCUCACUGGUUCCU